GAACUCCAUCGACAAUAGAACCACAAUAUUUUAAAUAAUUUUUAAAAUUUCUUUGUGUGCGACAGUAGAACUCAAACGAUAGUAGAACUCAAAGCCGUUGCGUUCAGUCAUUUGGAACAGGAGUCUAAUGGCUGUCAAUAGGUGGCAUUGAAUAAGUGGCUGUAUGAUGUCCAGCAGAUAGCGCGAGUGUCUUCAGGGACGCUUCCCUUAGCGGCCAUUUUGAUCCAAGACGCAGAAGAAAAGGGUUGUUGGUUGUGACGUUUCUCACGAUGAAAAUUAAAAGGUGAUUUGGCAUGUAGAAACCAAUUUGUCAAAUCAUUCAACUCAGACUUGGGAAGUGCCUGUACAUUUCCGAAAUGGCGUGCCUCGUGUGUCUCGCUGCCUGUUCUUUGGCUUACGUCUCACCCCAUUCAACAGUAAAAAGUAAAACGAAUGCUGGUGGUUACCUUGUUGCAGCCAAAUGGUGAAAGGUGUGA